GAUAAUCUAUCAAAAUAGGCCGUUAAUAUAUUUUACGGUCGACACCUCAAAUCUGGCUUAUUUUGAUUAGAGUUAUUUUCAUCUAUUAAUUUGGUUACUAUACUAAAUUUAAUGAAAAUUUCAUUAAGCUCACAAUAUUUUAUCCUUGAGUAAAUAUACCUAAAUUGUUUUUUUUUUUUUAUCUAAUGCUUUAAUUUUUAAAAUUAUAUCAAGUUAUUUGUGUUUUAUUGCUAUUAUCAUGGUGUUAUCACCGACUUGGUGUGCUAUCAAUUGGUUAUUGGCUUGCUUAGUAUCUUGUCGUUGUCGAGAUAUUGUGUCAUAUGUUCAAUUAUAUUUGUCUUGAUGUUUAUUAUCACAUAUUGAUGAUCUAAUAUCUUUAUUGCCGGCUUGGAAACUUUUUAUGAUCUAUCAGGUUUGCUAAUAAUUCAAUUGUCUAUUUGGAGGUUUACUUUUUGUCCCUUUUUUUCGUAAUAUUUGUCUAAUCUCUAUAACACAAUGUACUUUUUAGAGUUUCCCCUUCUCUAUGUCUUUAUGCACAAGGUAAUAAUGAUAAAGAAAGUCCAUGAGAUUUGAAAUGCUCUUCUAUUAUUUUAUUAAAAAUAGUUUAUUUUUGGGGCAAUUUCUUAUAUACCCCUAUAAAGUCCUCCUCUUUAAUAUCUACCCCUCAAAAAAAGAAAAACUUUCUUACCCUUCAAAAAACCCAAACACUUCCAAAAAAACCUAAAAAAUAGGAGUAUAUAAGAAAGAAAGAGAAACUUUUCAAGGGUAUAUUUGAAACCAAGGAGUAAAUAGGAAAUAUCACAAGUUUACAGUGAUAAAAAAGGUAUUAUCUCUUUAUAUAAUGCUAAUAAUGGUGAUCUUCUAUCUUUUCUCUCCUUACUUAGGACAGCUAGAGAUUCAACUUUUAUGCAGCACUUUUUUACCCUAUUGCCAAUGUUUUUACACCUUACAGUUAAAUAAAAUCAUUUUUUUUUUUAACCUGGCUUUGAACCUCACCUUGCAGUUAUAUAAAUUUUUUUUUUCCUAUAUUAUUUUUGACUGGUUUUUCCUUCUUUCAUGUUGAGGUGGAUUGUGGUCAAAUUGUUAGUUGCACAGUGUUUUUUUCAAUUAAAAAAAUUCUCUUUUUAUUGGUUUGUGUGCUCUUCUUUAGGCUUCUAUUUGCGAACUGAUUUUAAUGUUUUCUGUUGUUUCCUUUUCGUUCUCACCUACUGUCAGUAGUUGGUUUAGUUUGAUUUUCAAUGGUGUUGUUGUUUUACUUUACAUACUUUCUCCGUGUUGAGUGAUUAGUUCUUUGUUGUUGAGUGAAGUAUUGGAGGUGGUUUGUAUUUUAAUUUUGUCUAAGCUGAAUUGUUCCUUUUGACACUUGGAACCAAAUUAUUUCCAGUGGCUUUGUGAUGAUGACAGAUAAUAUGAGGGCUUUCUUCACUUAACACUCUUUGAUUGACACAAUUUGAUGAUAUUAGAGAUUAUUUCGUAUAAUGAAUGUAGUUAAUCUCUUUUGGCGAAUUGAAAUCUGAUUAAAUUUGAAUUUGUUGUUUUGUAAAUGUAUUUGUACAAGCCUAAAAUUAUUUUCUCCUUUUCUUUUCUUUUCUUUUGCUUCCUACAUUUAGCAAAAAAAUUAAUUUUUCCAAUACACUUUCCCUUGAAUCUACCUAGGUAGGAUCAUUAUUGUAUUGUUCAAGUUUGUAGAGAAAAUAAUAGAAGAGUUUGCAUAUUUUGCUGAAUUUAAAGUAAGGGAUCAGUAAUUGGCAAAUUUACAUGAACUAUGCAAAUUUACAUGAACUAUGCAGUGUGUGUUAGCCAUUAUUAGUUUGCAUCUAUGGAAUGGAUAAUAAAUACAAUGCUAGAAGAUCUGUCAUUGAAAAUUGAUAACUUUGUAAUCUACAGUCUUAAAUUUAGAAAAUUUAUGAAGUUAAAUAAGUAUUUUCAAUAAUUAAUACCAAAAUAGGUAGAGACUUAAAUUUAGAAAAUUUAUAAAGUUAAAUAAGUAUUUUUCAUAAUUAAUAUCAAAAUAGGUAGAGCAUAGAAAAACAUAGUAUAGAACAAUGAUUACGUUGUCAUGUUGCAUCGACAGACUAAAUAUAGUAUAUAUAUUGUUGGCUCAUAGAUGUAUGAAAAUUGGAUCUUUAUAAUUUAACGGUAGUUGAAACUAACUAUUGUUAAUGUAAAAUUUUCUUAUACUUUUUUUUAAGCUUUCUUUGCAUUUUGUAGUAAUUUUAUGAUAACAACUAUGAUGUCUAUAGGCAAAUAUAAUGAUCUUUUCUUUUAAGAAGAAUCUAAUUUGGGUCCAGAAGGAGAAUAGGAAAGAUAAUAUCUUUAUAUCAUUAGUUAAAUAUGAAUUAAGUCUCUUCAGUUUGCUCUUUAUUAUUUGUAAUUCUUUUCUCAUAAUAUUCUAAAUAUUUAUUGAGUAUAUUUAUAUAAUAAUUUGUUUUUCUCAUAGAGUUUUUUUUUUCUUUUUUUUUCGUUGUUCUCCAUUGGAUUGUAAUUCUAUUAUUAAAACUUUCAUUGUAUUUUUCAUCUUAGUAAGUCCAAUCAUAUGUGGUUAUAUUCUUUUGGUUUUUCGUCAUAUUUUUAUUUAUUUAUUUAAUAUGUAAAUUUUUACUAAAAUUUACCGGCGCAUCGGGUGGGUCCCUGCACUUAGGGGUGGAAACGAGCCGAGCUCGAGCGAGCUUACCUCGGCUCAAAUUCGGCUUGAAAUUAAUUUCAAGCUUAAAUUUAAGCUCAAGCUUGGAUUGAAAUUAAUUCGAGCCGAGCUCGAGCGAGCCUAAUUUCGAGUCGAGCGAGCUCGAGCCCUAAACGAGCCGCUUGAAAUUCUCAACAUCAUACAAUCAAUAGUUUAAUUUGUAUAGAACAUUAUCUAUAAUUUGAUACAAAAAUAUGUCUAAUAGUUCAAAGUACAAAUAAUUAUAUAUUUAUAAUAUGAAAAAAAAAAUUAUGAGUUGAAUAUCUAAUCUUUUUAGCCUCACAUGUCUUAUCUUCCGCCUUCAAUCUCCAUAUUAUUCAUUUUCAUAUAUGCAGUCAAAAAUAAAUAAAUUAUAUAGAUAAAUAUUGGAUUAAACUAUCCAAUCAUAUAUAACAAAAAUUAAAAUUUUAUAUGAAUAAUAAUUUUUUACUUUAAAAAUAUUCUGUAUAUUUUCUCAAGCAUACAAUUAAUAGCAAGGUAGGCAACGGCAGGCAUAUAUUGUUACUUGGUAACUUUGAGGGCUUCCGGCUUGGCCGCUUAGGGUGAGAGACAAAAAAAGAGAAAGAGAAAAAUAUAUUGAAAAUUUAGAGUUCUGUGAAAGAAAGAAACAAAGGAAAAAUGUAUAAAUUUAGUAAACUUUUGCUCUUUUAUUUGUCUAUUGGGUUUGUUUUUAUAGGCCAACAACAUUGGCCCAAUUUUAACUAAAUUCAGAUUAUUCACUCAGCCUAUAUAUAAUUAAAAUAUAUUAUAUUUAUAUAUUUUUUAAUAUAUAUAUAUAUAUAUAUAUAUAUAUAUANAUGUGAGACUCGUCUCGCUAGCCCGUCAUCCAGACCCUAGCUCAGCCGAGACUCGCCACACAUGUCCAACUGGUGAACCGGCUCUGAUACCAAAUAUAACGAUCCAGCCCACUAGUAACAAUAACUCGUUGGGCCCAAACCACCAGCCCAAAAUGCUUAAGCUCAGUUAUUAUUACUAGUGUCUAAGUCUCUUAUAAACCUAAUGAUAAUCCCAUUCGCAUCCGAUGUAGGAUUAUUGGGGUGUCACACACUUUUAUAGGCUUGAUUGUCUCUUAUUCUCCAAAUAAUUUGCUUUAUUUCAUCAACACAAUGUAGGAUAAGAAAUUACUAACGGAGAACGAAGACAAAGGAAAAAGUCUGUACAAUGAAGGUAGCCAAAUUAUUGCGUGGAAACAAGAUGAGGCAACAGGAGAGAUAAUGUCGGCAAAGCGGAUCAAGAAGAAAUGAAUAUGUUAUAUAUUAUAUUACCUUAUUUCAGUGUGAAUUAACAUCUUUAUGUUUUUCAUAUCGUAUUGUCAUGAUUGUAUUGUUGCUAUUACAUUUUCCUAAAAAUUAAUAUUCUCUUUUCUAAUUUAAAAUCAAAAAUUUCAAACUCUAAUAUUUCAAUAUUUGCUUGCCGGCUUAUUUUACUUUAUUUUUUUUCUUGCCGAACAAUUAAGCAUUUUAAAAUAUAUUUAUAUUCUUUUAUAAAAACUUGCUAUUUAAAAAUAUUUUUCUUUCUCCAAAUGUAAUAUUAGAUUUCAUGAAAAAAUUAAAAAAAUUAAAAAAAAUUAAAAAAAAAAUAAUUUAAAACUCUAUUCAUUCACCCGUUACUCAAUUAUUAUGUUAUAACUCCGUGCAUGCACGGGUUAACUUGCUUGUUAGUUAAAUAUGAAUUGAGUCUCUUCAGUUUGCUCUUUAUUAUUUGUAAUUCUUUUCUCAUAAUAUUCUAAAUAUUUAUUGAGUAUAUUUAUAUAAUAAUUUU
rnacentral:lncRNA from 1 species